rfam:Gossypium hirsutum cultivar TM-1 chromosome 1, whole genome shotgun sequence
UGUUAAAAAUUUAAUCUAUUUCUAUUGUUAAAAACUUAUGCAGAUGAUGGAAUAACCAAAUAUUUAUAGAUGGCGUGCCAUGUGUAUCUUAUGCUAACAUACAGAAGCUAGUUUUUAAUAGUUGAAAUGAAUAAAUUUUUUAAUA